UACGUAGGGUCCGAGCGUUGUCCGGAAUCAUUGGGCGUAAAGCGCGUGUAGGCGGCUCGGUAAGUCUGCUGUGAAAGUCCAGGGCUCAACCCUGGAAUGCCGGUGGAUACUGUCGAGCUUGAGUCCGGAAGAGGCGAGUGGAAUUCCUGGUGUAGCGGUGAAAUGCGCAGAUAUCAGGAGGAACACCAAUGGCGAAGGCAGCUCGCUGGGACGUGACUGACGCUGAGGAGCGAAAGCGUGGGGAGCGAACAGG
rnacentral:rRNA from 1 species